rnacentral:rRNA from 1 species
GACGGGGCCCGCACAAGCGGUGGAGCAUGUGGUUAAUUCGACGCAACGCGAAGAACCUUACAGGGCUUAACAUCCCCUGACCGCGUAUGAAAGUACGUUUUCACCCUCGGGUGACAGGGAGACAGGUGGUGCAUGGUUGUCGUCAGCUCGUGUCGUGAGAUGUUGGGUUAAGUCCCGCAACGAGCGCAACCCCUACGUUUAGUUGCUAACAGGUGAAGCUGAGCACUCUAGACGAACUGCCGUUGACAAAACGGAGGAAGGUGGGAUGACGUCAAAUCAUCAUGCCCCUUAUGUUCUGGGCUACACACGUGCUACAAUGGCCGGUACAGACGGAGGCGAAGCCGCGAGGCGGAGCAAAUCCGAAAAAGCCGGUCUCAGUUCGGAUUGCAGGCUGCAAUUCGCCUGCAUGAAGUCGGAAUCGCUAGUAAUCGCAGGUCAGCAUACUGCGGUGAAUACGUUCCCGGGCCUU